GUCACGAGAAUAGAAUGAACAAUAAAAAUCCUUGAUAUCAGAGACAUGCAUGAAACAGUUUAAAGCUCCAUGUAUUUUAGAACACAAGGAGGUUGUAACCAAUAUUGUUUUAAGUGCCACAACUUGUCGGGUGUUCUCAUUGUACCGGAUUCUACGUUAUAGUAGAGGAGAUCUUGGCCUCCUAACGAUAUAAAAACAAGCAUUUCAACAUGUCCCGUCAAUACACUUGUUAGUGGCACAAUGGAGUUGCAUAUGGAUGGAAAAUUGAUGUAAUAUUCUGAAAUCCAAACACAAUUAUUUGGGUCCUCGAGCCUCCACAUUUUCACAAUUACUUUUUCCGUCCAACAGUGUGCCAAAUAUAAACACUCCUUUAACUCCAGCAAGUAGGCCUUGGUAGAAGGACUGCGCAUUGGGCCUGAAAUGAUUUUUGAUUCUUCCUUAUCCAAAUCCAAGGCAAGAAUGGAAUCCGUUUGAUAAAAAUCCAGAUAGUUUCUAGUAAGCCAAUAAAUCACUCCAUUAACCGACGUAGGAUGCAGCUCAAGGUUUUCAAAAGGGUGUGUUUCAGUUAAUCUCCAUGAAUCUGAUUUAAAUCUGAGACGAUCGGAUAGACUAAAGAUUUUGCACUCCAAACUCUUAAUUCCAUUCUUCUUCUGUACAAACCACUUAACCAAUUUGUAUUCGUUUGCAAGGGGUGGGUACCCUAAACCUACAUCAGAAAAAGGGCCGGAAUCCGGCGGUAUUAUUAUUUCUUGGGUGCUUAGAUUAUGGAUAGAAAUUUUUCUCCCAACAAAGCAUACAAGAUUGUGACACGACACCAUGUAAUACCCUUCAGAAUAUGUAAUAGGGAGAUAGUAGUUUCCCUGAAUCCUUUCAGUAGCUCGUGCCUCUAUCUAGAUUAAAAUACUUCUCACAAUCCCAAAUUCAUAAAUAAGGGUUUGGAUGAAGACGUUGGUGACACAAAUCUUUGACGAGACCAGGACCUGGAGAAGAAAUCAAGCCGUGCCAUUCUUUGGAAACACCGGUGAACCUGCCGAGGGACUUGUAAGGGAGUCUCCAUAUAACUUCUACUAAUAUGUCGAUUGGUAAUCCAUCCAUUCUCUUCCUUGUCUUCUCU
rnacentral:lncRNA from 1 species